rnacentral:lncRNA from 1 species
UCUAGAUCUAGAUCUAGAUCUUCGUCUUCUUAAUCCCCAUCGCAAAACUCAGAUUGGACGUAGAAUUACUCCAAUCUAUUAGAACAAAGUUAUUGUUUCAGCAACAAAUUGCGUAUUAAUCUAAUUAGUUGCAGGUACGUACAUUACUAGAAUUGUUGGCGUACAAAACCCCCUCAUUUCCAUUUUCUUCUCAAGUCAAAGAACUCCCCAAAUUGAUUCUCAGUCUUGUCUCUUGCUAUACCAAAUCUCGAAUUUCUUCUCGUUUCUCUCACCAAGCCCUAAAAUCUAUCAAUUGCCCGCCUGCCAUCAUGUCACUGCUCCAAACGAUACCU